UACGUAGGGUGCAAGCGUUGUCCGGAAUUAUUGGGCGUAAAGAGCUCGUAGGCGGCUUGUCGCGUCGACUGUGAAAUCCCGCGGCUCAACUGCGGGUCUGCAGUCGAUACGGGCAGGCUAGAGUUCGGUAGGGGAGACUGGAAUUCCUGGUGUAGCGGUGAAAUGCGUAGAUAUCAGGAGGAACACCUGUGGUGUAGACAGCUUACUGGACCACUUCUGACGCUGAGACACGAAAGCGUGGGUAGCAAACAGG
rnacentral:rRNA from 1 species